GUGUGUGUGUGUGUGUGUGUGUGUGUGUGUGUGUGUGUGUGUGUCUCUGUGUAUGUGUCUGUCUGUCUGUCUCCUCCACAUUGUCUUAAUAAUUCACUUCAUUCCUUCUUAUGUUGUUUUUUUUCAUCUACAUAUCAUUAAUACAAUAAUUGUAGUAUAUACUGGGACCUGGAGCAGCUCAACUCAUGAACUCUUCACCUAUGGACUGCUACAGAAUUGCACCUUGGGAAAUGGAGUCUUCAGUCACAUUUUUUUUUUUCUUUUUUUGUAAAACCGAGGCUUGGAAUUCCUGCACAUUAUGUGCGAUCAUGACUGCAAGUGAAAUAUUUGAGAAACAUGUGAUUUGGGGUCUAUUUUUGUUUGAGACUUGCCAAUCAAAGUUUUUUUUUUCACUGAAUGACACUACAACACCCAGACACUAUAUGGACAAGGAUACUACAAUCACGUGGAUCUAUAUUGCACAUCUCAAAUGCUAUCUUUUGUACAGAAACAGCUCUUGGUGUGUGUGUGUGUGUGUGUGUGUGUGUGUGUGUGUGUGUGUGUGUGUGUGUGUGUGUGUUGCCAUCUCAGUCUUUUCCACAAACACACAAGGUGUGUCUGUAUACAAGUGGCCUUUCGAUAUAGAAUCAAGCAGGAGCUGGAAGUACAGGUUAUAGUGAGGAAAGACUGCGUGUUUCGUCUUGAUCAGUGUACGGGAAACUUGUAGGUGUGUAGAGAGACUGAGAGCGGGAAAUAGGACAGAGGGGGGGGGACGCCAAGAGAACAGGUGGUUUCAUAACGAGAGACUGACCCCGGUCCAGACCCGGCUCUGAUCUGGCCCGGAUCCGCUCUCUUGAGAAUGGAUCCGAGUCAUGAGGUUUGACUGGAAGCCAUCAGUCAGUUUACACAAGCCACGUUUGGUUUGGUCUGGACGAGGACAUGUCUGUCACCUGCUCCUCGUGCUCCUGGGUCAACAGGCUGUUGGGGAGGGUGGACCCAGGAGACCGGUCCGGUCCGAAUCCGGUCCGCUGGUGGAAAUGGGCUUGGAGUGUCGUGUCAGGGUAUGCUUUGUCUAGAGUGUUGUGUCGCGUUGAGAAGCCAGGGCGCUUUAGGAGAUCUUUGCAAGGUGAUGUUUUACAGAGGUAGGGUAGAGGGGUAGAAAUGCUUGAGUUUACGGAGACAGAUACUGUUGAGAGCAAAUGUGCCAAGUUCUAUGAUCAGGCAGUGGUUCAAAUAGGUUCAUGAUGAAUCCUGUGGUAAUAUCAGUAACCUAACCAGAAAGGCCAAAUACUGUGGUUACGUGUGUGUGUGUGUGUGUGUGUGUGUGUGUGUGUGUGUGUGUGUGUGUGUGUGUGUGUGUGUGUGUGUGAGUGUGUGUGUGUGUGUGUGUGUGUGUGUCUGUCUUUUAUAACAUACAUAGCUAUGUUCCAUUGGGACAAAAGGCUUACUGACUUCAUGGUCUCAGGCUCCCAAUCCCCUCCAACACUAUAGCCAACUGAUGGAGACUUCUGCAAAAAUGUAUAUCAACACCCGCCUUUUAGGCGGAGGUGUUAGUAUGAACUGGUCCCUGGUCAAACGGAGCUUCUGGAAGAUUCUGUGACCGUGGUUAUCGAUACAGCUACAACGUGUUUUUUUUUUUUUUUUUUUUUUUUUUGCUUCUCCUUUAGAACACUCAGUGGCUUCUUAGAAGACCUCAUUGUGUCUGAGAACACUCCAGAACAUUCUUCUUUAGAUGUUGCAGAUGAGUUUAAGAUUGCAAUGCCAUUGUGCCACGGAUAGCUGCGAGAAAGUAAAUAUUUUGUCUGUCUGUUUUGAUUCUCUUCCACUUCAGUGACAUUCAGAUACUACAAGUAAGGGCAUCGCUGCCAGUUAUCAAGAUUAAAGUGGGUGUAUCAAUAAGCAAAUUUCUUUUUUUUUUGUGUGCGUUUCUUUGCAGAGUCCGGGAUUAGUUUAGGAAUCGUCUCAGUUAUUCAAGCCAACUUGGAGCUGUUUUGUUAUUUCCCCCUUUCAUUUGUUUCACUCUUCUGCAUUAAUAAAUAUUAUAUAUAUAUAUAUACAUAUAAAUAUAUAUAUAUAUAUAAAUGUGUAUGUAUGUAUGUAUUUACCUUGCUCCUGGUUCACUUUGGAAUAACUGCUAUAUUUUUCAAUAAAACAGAAUGCCGGUAAUCUUUGCAUAACA